rnacentral:rRNA from 1 species
CCUACGGGAGGCAGCAGUGGGGAAUAUUGGGCAAUGGGCGCAAGCCUGACCCAGCAACGCCGCGUGAAGGAAGAAGGCCCUCGGGUUGUAAACUUCUUUUUUCAGGGACGAAAAAAGUGACGGUACCUGACGAAUCAGCCACGGCUAACUACGUGCCAGCAGCCGCGGUAAUACGUAGGUGGCAAGCGUUAUCCGGAUUUACUGGGUGUAAAGGGCGUGUAGGCGGGACUGCAAGUCAGAUGUGAAAUUCCAGGGCUCAACCCUGGAACUGCAUUUGAAACUGGAGUUCUUGAGUGAUGGAGAGGCAGGCGGAAUUCCGGGUGUAGCGGUGAAAUGCGUAGAUAUACGGAGGAACACCAGUGGCGAAGGC